rnacentral:rRNA from 1 species
GGGACCCGACUGCUAUUUGGGUGAGGAUAAACCAUGCGAGUUGUAUGGGAUACCUAAAUUUCCCAUAGCAAACUGCUUAGUAACACAUGAUCAACUUACCCUAUGGAGAAAUAUAACCUCGGGAAACUGAGGAUAAUGCUUCAUAGUUGAAUAGGCUUGGAAAAGUUUUUCAAUGAAAGGGAUAAGAUAAAUGGUUCUUAUCUGCCAUAGGAUAGGAUCGUGCUCGAUUAUGGUUGUUGGUGAGGUAACGGCUCACCAAGCCGAUAAUCGAUAGGGGCCGUGAGAGCGGGAGCCCCAAGAUGGGUACUGAGACAGCGACCCAGGCCUUACGAGGCGCAGCAGGUACGAAACCUCCGCAAUACACGAAAGUGUGACGGGGUUACCCAAAGUGUUCUUAUAGAACUGUGGCAGGUGAGUAAUGUCCCCUGCUAGAAAGGAGAGGGCAAGGCUGGUGCCAGCCGCCGCGGUAAAACCAGCUCUUCAAGUGGUCGGGAUAAUUAUUGGGCUUAAAGUGUCCGUAGCCGGUUUAGUAAGUUCCUGGUAAAAUCAGGUAGCUUAACUAUCUGUAUGCUAGGAAUACUGCUAUACUAGAGGGCGGGAGAGGUCUGAGGUACUACAGGGGUAGGGGUGAAAUCUUAUAAUCCUUGUAGGACCACCAGUGGCGAAGGCGUCAGACUGGAACGCGCCUGACGGUGAGGGACGAAAGCCAGGGGAGCGAACCGGAUUAGAUACCCGGGUAGUCCUGGCCGUAAACGAUGCAUUCUAGGUGAUGGUACGGCCAUGAGCCGUGUCAGUGCCGUAGGGAAACCGUUAAGUGUGCCGCCUGGGAAGUACGGUCGCAAGGCUAAAACUUAAAGGAAUUGGCGGGGGAGCAC